UGCCAAGAGCUGCUUCGCUUGGAGAACGUCCCCAAAAUCCUUCUGGUGACUGAAAUACGGGCCGCGUCCUGGAGAUCCCGAGCCGGAGCUGUGGCACCGUUCCCCGGACGCGGUUUAGCCGAACGAAUCCCUGAGCGGGGCAGAGAUUUCCCCUCGACAGCCGCCGCUGAACGGCUCCGAGCUUCUCCUUUACUAUCGGUUUUAUUGUUCGAGCAGAUUUCAUUGUGAAAUCGUGUAUUUCCCGGGCUCUGUCCUCCUUACUGGUGGAAAGAAGAGCGCGUUCCUCGGAGAAAAUCACUGCGGGUUGAACGGUGCGUUAUUUCCCACCCCCGUCCCGAGCAGCCCGCAUAGAUGCUGCUUUUAAAUAACAAAAGGGGAGGAGAAAACAUUCUCUAGUAAAGCCGAAUUCCUUCGUUAGACCGCCUCCUAAACGUGCUAAUAAAACUAAUUCGUUUUAUUUGCCCUGAACUUUUAUAUCUUGCCCCGUGCGCUGAUUAGCGCAGCCCUCUGGAAGGCGGAGGUGUUCUCCUAUCUCUCGCUCAGAUGUGCCCGUUAAGAUACGGCCGUUCCCACAAUGAAACUGGAAAGAAAAUUGUCCCCGUUCCUCAUCGCGGGGCAGCGCAGAGCCUUUGUGGGAGGCAGGAAACGUAUGGCUCUGCAGAGAUUCACGGCUGUUCUGAGAACAUUAAAGCGCGUUCAGCCCUUCAGGAAAUGUUCUGUUUAGGGGAAAUGCGUUCCCCCCAUCCAAAUGCUGCAGCAAUUAAGAGGUUGCUCGCCCGAAACAAGGAAAAUCGCUCUCCUGGCUGCGUAGAGGAGGACGGGCCGGCUAGGAGCCAGCGUAAUUUUCCACCUUCCUAUCCUGAGCGAUUUAACAUGCUUUCUCGGCUGGGAUUCUUCCCCUUCUCCGCUUCCCUCUGCCCGCUCGUGGGCACCCGAGGGGGACCCGGUUCGGACGGGGUGGCGGCAGAGCUGUCCGUGUUGGGGCUCGUUUCGUGUUCGCCACCGUUUUUAGGGGAUUGCUCGGUUUCCCCUUAAAGCCAUGCUGGCGGGGCGUUCACAGCCCCAACAAGAUGGUGCUGAGCUUUUCCUUGUCUGGGGCGUACACUCGGGUCUCUACAUGGCUCUGUUAAGGUGAUGCUGCUUGGAUAGGACCCACGGGACCACCACCCCCGUUACUCCACGACAGCGAACUCCGUCUCACCGGAGCGGUCCGAGCUCCAUGGGGCACCGCGCAAUCCGCGCAUACUGUGUGUAUCUUCCUGCCUGCUUACUCCCAACCCGCGUGGAUCCGGAACCACGCAGCAAAGGAUUGACAAUGGCCGGAGGCUGAUAAUCGCUUAUCUACUCAUGCGGGGGGCAUUUUCACCGUCAGGGAGUUUUAAAAAUGCCCCUGUCACAGCGCGGCCGGCUAUGCGCACAUAAGAGCUGUGAGUUUCCAGCGGUUGUCACCUCCCUGCCGAUGUCUCCUGCUUCAGCCAGUGGCGGUGGCCCUUCACCACCCCCCGCACCUUCAGCCGGGCGCUUUUGGGAGGGUUUUAUUAUAGAUAUUGUUUUCCUGCAGCCAACUCCCUUCUACGGGGCUCAGGGAAGGGUCGCCAGGAGAAGGUUGGCUGGUUUGCCCUGGCUUUGCUUGGGCUUGUUUUGACUGACUUUGCUUUGGAUGAGUUUGGCUGACUCGUGUUUAGAUUGGACUGGUUUAGUUUGGUUUGGUUUGGCUUGGUUUGGUUUGAUUU